CAGGGAGGAACAUUAAAUAGUUUCGCAAGAAAGAACAUUAAACAGUUUCGCAGGAAGGAACAUCAAAUAGUUUCGCAGGAAGGAACAUCAAAUAGUUUCGCAAGAAGGAAUACCAAACAGUUUCGCAGGAAGGAGCAUCAAACAGUUUCGCAAGAAGGAAUACCAAACAGUUUCGCAGGAAGGAGCAUCAAACAGUUUCGCAAGAAGGAACAUCAAAAAGUUUCGCAAGAAGGAACAUCAAAUAGUUUUGCAAGAAAGAAUACCAAACAGUUUCGCAGAAAGGAACAUCAAACAGUUUCGCAGGAAGGAACAUCAAAUAGUUUCGCAGGAAGGAACAUAAAAAACCAACACAGUGUAAACUUGUAGCUAUUUAUUUUAAAGUCGUAGAUACAUUAAGGUGGCAGAAUUAAUUUCUACAAGUGCAUGAAACGCAAUAUUUACAGCUAAAGGAAUUCCCGACAAAAACAUAGAUUUUUAAUAGACACAAUACUGUCAUAACUUCGUGUACAUAAAACAUAGCUGGAAUUGGAAGGGAUUCAAAUGAAUUUGCAUUUUCUGACGCAAU